UGCAUUGCACCCCUGCACCUCACUUCCCGGUGCAAGCCCUCUUUGCAAGGUGGGGGGCGAGUCUGCGCACACCCCGCCGUUGCUCCCAGCACACUCUCACUGCAGAGACCCGGCGUGGUGUUCGGUCCCAGCGCCCCAAUUGCAUCCUCACGUACCUCGGGUGCUUUCUGCACCCCUGACCCCGUGAGCAGAGGCGCAGUCCCUCCCAAAGCGGCGUUCUGUGCAGUUCUGGGGCGUUAGCUACCACCCAGCGGCAAUGAAACACAGGUUUCCCAGCACGGGGCAAUUCAGACAUUUCAUCCAAAACUCAGGUGUGAAAACACUCUGUGUGUGUGUGUGCAAUUCGUCAUUCCAAAACGUUGUCCGUGAAUAACCAAAAUGUUGUUUUCAGGAAGUCAAACCCCAAACUGGGCAAAAUUUGGGCAAUGCUACGUUUUCUCCUGACGCUUUUCGCCGGUGCCGUGCGCUCCUUAGAGAUGGUAGCAUAAAGCCGGGACCGAUUCCCGCGGCCUCCUUCGGAUGAGGAGGACAUGACGUUGACUGUGGAGUCGGUGAUAAAGGCAGUUACCUUUCUGCAAUCGGCAAUUAAGCACCUAAUUAAGUAAUUGCCGGUGAAGUCGCAGCCUGCCUUUCGUGCAACUUGGAGAAAAAAAAAUCCUGCCUAAAACGAAGGCGAAAGAGAAGAAAGCAAAACGUUGCGUUUCUCGCCGGCUUUUCGUCGCUCCUUCCAUCCCCGAGCGGCCGGCCGGCAGCGCGGUGCCGAGGGCCGCCGGUCCCGAGGGCUCGCCGUGCUCAGCGCCCUCAGGAAGCCGCUAACGGUGCUGAAUGCGGGCCGGCGUCGGCGGUCCCCGGCUCUGCCGCGCGCAGGCCGGUCCUGCUGCCGCGCAGGGCUGGCCGUGUGCUCACACACGUGCGUUCGCUUAGCAUGGCGGGAGCAGGGCCCUGCGUGUUCGGCCGCCUCUUCCGCCAGCCCGAGAUGCCACCGUGGCGUGGGUUUUCUUUCUUUUUGGUGUAGGACCUUUAACCCCGCUGUGAUGAUUUAAUUUCUCCUGCUGCAAAACACCCUCCGCUUUCACCGAGCAACGUAAGCCCGUCAGCGCGAGAGGGGUGUUAAAUGAUAUCGAUGCCUCGGCGUUGGCUCCUCUCGGCUCAGAGGAGCAGAUGUUGGCCGUGACUUUGCUUCCUGUCGCUCACCGGGACUUUGCCCCCUUCACCUCCGAUAAGGCGCUCUGUGAUAGUCCCUGCCGGGAGGUGUUAUCAGAAGCCUUUGCAAGGUCCCCGAUAAACGCCACCCGCCCCACGGCCUUCGUUAAACUCUUAUAACAGCUUAAGGAAGUGCCAUUUCCCCUCCUGUGCGUUUAUCCAGCCGGGGCGUCCCCCGGCCCGUCCUCGCCCCCCUCGUCCGUGCCCGCAGCGCAAUGAAACGCUCCUGCCGCUGCGGACCGUGCCGUGGUGACUUCUGGACGCUGGGGUGGCGAUCAGCCCCACUGUCGAUCCCGCGGGCAUGCCCUGGGUGGGACGCUGGCCCCCUUCCCGCUGCGCGCCUGCGGCCGGAGGCCCCCCAGCACGGGACCUCCGCGCUUCUGCACCGCCGGAGGCAACGGCGCGGCGAGAGCAGUGCUGCGGACUUUGCGACUUGCCCUUGCAGCUUCCGCCUCCCCCUCGCUGCUUUUGCUGCGUUUCGCGCCUCGCUCCCGCAUUCGGGCCCCCCGACGGCACCAGAGGAGCGUUUGCCUCCCGGCUCCCCGUGCCCAGGCGUCACGUGGCUCUCGUGAAGGGCUGUCAACCCCGGGCGCUGAUGCCGAGAGCUGCCGCGAGCCAGGCAGGCCGAGUCACGGCUGCGAGGGAAGAGUGCCCGGCGAGGUGCAGCCUUGUGGGCGACGCGGGAGGUGGCACUUCUCCCUGCCGUUCCCAAUGAAAGCGUGCAUGGGUGGUAGGAGUCUUUUGUGGUAGAGACAUGGAGCAAAGCAUGUCCAUGUGGUCUUCCGUUGGCCUUCUGCGAGGCCAGCCUGCGGUGUUAAACAUGGCUGCUGGUUGCGUUCCUCUUUGCCUUUCCAAAGUCUUUCAGAAAAUGUAUCAGAACUGGCAUUCCCAUCCCUGCCUUUACUGUCUCCCACCUGUUUGACAUCGUGGCCUUGUCAAACCUGGGAAGGACCCAAGCCACCAGCAAUCGCAAUGACUCUGGUGCUAACUCCUCCUGCAAGUAUGCAAGACAAGGGCCAGACUUCUGGACUUGCUCCUGAUGCCACCUGGUUUUCCAGUCUUUUGAUCAGCCCCCUCAUUUUACCGGGGUGGACAGUAGACCCUGCAGAACUGCUCUUCCUUACAGGCCAUUUGGUCUCCACGUGGGAGUGGGACAUGGGGUUGGCGACUCAGCGGCCUUUCCCGUGCUUCUUGUAGCACCGUUAUCCGGUCGACUCAUGAGCCACCUCCUCCUUUUCAUCCUCAAAAAUUCAUCCAUGCAGACAACAGCCGCCUCAGUACCUAAAUACGGGCAUCGCUGUCCUUGAAACAUGGACAUGGCCAAGCAGGUGGCAUCUUCGGCUGAGAGCAGUCAUAGCCUGCUUCUGCAGCGCUUCCACCGCCUACAAGCCUGGCAUGACUCUGCAUGGGCAGCGCGUGAAACACGAGCUACAGCCAAUUCGCCUCGGCGUAACUAGGUUGAACUUCAACCGUUCACCAACCCUUAACGGAAACAGCUGCCAGAGGGAAGACUCACAGUGAGCUCCUUAGCAAACCGGCAGAGGCCGAGGUGUGCAGGCAGUGCUCUCCUCUCCUUCAUCCCGUCUCUCCUUCACCCUUCCAGACUGGGACUUCAUUUCCCAAAGCCACGUCCCACCACCUCACUCAACCUGAGCCCCACACGGUGCUCCUGGUUGUUCCCGUUGACCCCGUCGUGUGGGAACCGCCAUUAUGGAGCAUUUUGGCUGCACGAUGAACCGUUAUUGCGAUUUCACGUCUCUCUUCUCAGAUGCCGCCGCACCAGAAAGUCGAUAUCCCCCUCACCUCCCAUGCAGGCCUGAAGCUUUGGGCCGGGAGCGCUCCGGCGCCCUGGGGGAGCUCUAUGGGAAAGCCACGCCGCUUCUGCAACGUGGAUGCCACCAGCGCGACGCUGCCAUCAUCAUCAUGUAGCGUGUUCCACCCCCGUGCAUUGCCUGGUAACACUAUCAACACCAGAGGCUUCUGGUGGUCACUAAUCGCACUUCAUCAUGCCUCUCUCUGUCUGGGAGAGCGGCACUGACAAAAGCUUGCCGCGUACAUCUGGGCUUUAUUUCCAAAUGCCGCUGCCGGUUGCUUUGUGAGCAGAAGCUCUCGGUGUGGGAAGGAAGCUCUGACCUGGAAUAUUUUUAAUAUUGUCCCACUGAAGAAAUCCACCUAGGUUUUUUUUUCAUCGAGCACAGCCCACACACUACGUAUUUCCCCGCACUGCGAGUCUUUCCAAGUCUUGAGCCUAUAAAUACGGCAGGAGCCUCACCUUCUGCCAGGCUCCGUGCACGGCCCUCCCUCUUUGUCUCGGAGCCGGGCGCGGAAUCGCUCCAGCCGGAUCUGCAGCUACCCGAUAGGCGCUCCCCAGGGAUGCACCUUAGAUACUAACUUCCCGCAUCACCAUGGCAAGCGGUGGGCGCAGCCGAGGCGUGCGAGCGAGCGUGCUCCAGCGGCUGGCAUUCGCUGAAACAUCUGCCUCGCCGGCAUUGUGCUUGUUUAUGGAAUCGUGCACGGCUUCCAGCGAGUCAUCUGAGAAUAUAAAUUGAGUUCCUCCGAGCUGGAACCACCUGCUUCAGAUAAUUUUCUGGCAAGUAGUCUCCUGACUUACUCUCCAUCCAGGAUUUUUUUUUCUCCCGCGGCUGCCAACCCCAUCCGGUAGCUGCAGGUUUUUGUUAGUGCUGAGUGGGAGUUUAUCUGGACCCGUGGGGGAAAUGCCGUCCUGCUGCCAGGACCCAACAGAAGGCAAAUGCGCUCUUUAAUUCUUCUUAGACCUCAGAACAGGCCUGGCGUGAUGCAGAGGGGCCGGGGCUCACGUGGAGGAGUUGCUGAUUAAAGCACAUAUCCCGUAGAUAAGGACGUGUCGGGGGGGUCUCUCCUCUCCUCUGGCACUGAUGUGCUGCACAGCCUUGGGUUAGACCCCUCGUUGGCUUUGGGUGCUCCUGUUUUUGAGGAGCCUGAUGCUUUCUGAGGCCAUCUCCAGGCGCGAGGGACCAAGGCAGGUCCCGGGGAAAGCACGCCGUUGCAAGGAGCUUGUUUUGCCCCCUGGAAAGCAAAGCUCAGCCUUUCCCUUCCCCUCCGUCAGGGCGCCAGCACAGCCCUCCAGGACCGUCCUUGGCUCUGCUCCUUCGUGGAGGGGCAGCUGCAUCUAGCACUACCUGCGCUGCUGGAGAUGGGCAGCCACGAAAGCACCUCGUUUUGGGGUGAGAUCCAGCUCCAGGCUCAGGUACACAUUGAUGUCUCCUGUGAGCGUCCGUGCGGUGGGUGGCGGCAAUACGGGCUCCUCCUACGGUAUCCGUUUGAUCCCUGCUGGCCAUGGUAGGAUCUUAAACACACCCGAAUGGUCGACUGCUAAAGUGGAGCUGAACCUCACCCUGGUAUCACUCCUGCUGGGCACGCGAAGUGGUUGAAAUGUGGUUUAUACCUUGAAUUCCUCCUUCAGGAAAUGGGCACGACGUCAGCCCAGGGCUGCAGGGCUGCAGAUCAAGCGCCCUGGAAGAAGCCACGUGUAUUCGAUGUGACUCCUUAUUUCGAUAUGAAUUGCUGCCAGGCACAGGCAUUUUUUCCCUUUGCACUGGGAAAGCAAAGCCUGGGUUUUCAGCAGUUUUUAAGCACCAAAGCAAGAGUUAGGCAGUUUGCUCUCCUUGAGGGGCUGAAGCUAAGCAUGUUGCCAUAACAAUCUUCCAGCAGAGUGAUGUGGAGAAACAUGAAUAUCUCCUUCACAUCCAGCUGCCAGUCCAGUUGGGUCAGGACAAAGCAAAGUUUACUAAGCGGAGCCCGUAAUUAGUAACUCCCCUAAGCUCCUGGAAAGCACCUCAUUUCCAUGCAGCCGGAAAGCCUGUGGAUGCUGUUUGACAGGGACAGCCGGCGGCGAUGCCAGGACGCGAUAUUCCUCUGGUGCGGUGGGAUCCCCCAAGCUGCCGGCAUGCCAUGGAGGUGGAAGGAGGCAGCAGGGCAGCUCCCGCGGGAUUGGUGCCCGGCACUGACCCAGCACUCCUGGGAAGAGCUUGUCUGGAGCUUUGCACCUCCCUGCUCAUCCACCACCGGUGGCCAGGGAGUUGAUAGCAAUGUGAGGGCAGCUUUGCUCCACCUGACGUCCUCUUUGGCUGUCUCCAGUGGGAUGAAUUAGCUCUACCAGGCACUGAAAGAGCCUUUUCUCAGGGAGAAAAGCCAGUGGGUACAGGGGGGACAAGCUGGGGAUGCUGCACCACCCUGGGGCAGGUGACCAGCAUGUGCAAGCAGUGGUCUGCUUUAACCCGGCUGAAAGGGGACGGGGAGCCUGAUGGCUCCUGCAGCAUCACCCCAGCUCGUCGCGGAGGCACGUCUGCACCUACGAAGCGUUUCCCGCGCAGACCUACAGCAAAGGCCACCUCCCGGCUGGCACCGAGCGCGGACAGCUUUAGCGCACGGAGGCAGCACUCAGGAUAGCGUGUAAUGUGUGAAAACAGCAAAGCAAAAUCCAGCAAACGGCCCCGGCUACUGCGGCGGCGGCGGAGACGGAUGCUUUGAUUUCUAGAAAUGCAAUUAACACCCUCCCUGACGAACCCCUGCGGAAAUCAUCGAGUGAAAUCUCCGCGCCGGAGAGUGAAACAGUGGGAAGGAGACGCUGUUCCUGAAUGAAAGGCAUUUCUCUGGGCCCCCUUCGCCACUUGUUCGUGGUGGCAUCAACUUCAGUAACGCCUGCAGAGUUCAUGGAGUCGCUGCAGAACAAAAUCCAACUUUUGUUUUUAUCUGGUUUAUUUGAAUUAGGCCAACAUGUAGAGCCAAACCUUGCUUUUGUUAUUAUUAUUGUUGCUGUUAUUAUUAUUAAAAAAAUUGGGAUCUUUUUUCUGGUUGGGUUAGUCAGAGAGGCUCUGCAGAUGCUUGUGGCAGCUUCGGAUGGAGAGGCGUGGACGUGGGGACGGCGGACCGAGGCAGAGGGAAAGCAGAGGGGUUUGCUGGCAGUUCUGGUUUACGGCAGCUUAAACUGCCAUGAAAUAUCAGCAUCACAUUCAGCUUAUGAAACUCAACCGAUAAAGCCAGCAACAGAGCAGGGAAUUGAACCAAGGUCUUCCCAGUUUGAGACAAAACCCUUAGGCACUGCAAUGGCUCUUACUCGUGCAAGAACAUACCGCCAAAGGUGAUAAUCUUGAUGGCGCACCAUGACCACGGAUCAGCGUGGUCCUACUGAGGUUCGUGGUACGGCGUUGCAUUGCAACCCGAGCGUCCGACCCAAGGAGACGACUCACCUGACUGGACCCAGCAGGAUUUGCUUCAAAGGGCUGCUCGUUGCAGAGCAACAGUCAGGACACAAAGUCUGAAUUGCCUUGCUGAGUAAGUCGACUAUUAUUAGAAGCAAAGCUAAUGUUUUAGAGGUGGUCUCCUUGAAUAUGCAACCAUGUUCCAGUGAGUGAUAUACCAAGGAGGCAGAGUUCAGGAUAGAAAAUUGCUUUUAAGUUCAGUCAUUUGAAUAUCAGAGAUAGUUUUGCUUCUAAAACUUCUUGAGUGUAGCAAGAAUCACCCUCGCCCACCCACACUCACUAAAUAUUUAGUCAUUUUUAACAAGUUAAACAAAGCCCUUUGAUUGGAUUUAUGCUAAUGGCUCUUCUGUAGGCAUUUCUGAUUCAUUUACAUUUCAUUUUAAAAUUGCCUGUGUACAUUGCUGAUUCUCACUAACACCAUUAGCAGAUAAAAGGAACAAGUAACAGGUCACAGACGCCACAAGAUGGCAAUAGUUGAAGAGCAAUUUGCUUCAGGAAGAAGAGAUCUGCCUUCUCCAGCAAACCUGUGCUGUCUUUCAGAGGGCACCACACUGUGUGUGCAUUAACCUUAGCACUUACAUAGCAUUCUUCGUCGGACGAGUGCAAAGCAAUUUCUGUGUGUGGGGGUUCAUUCUUCCUCUCACAGAUGGGGAUGGAGAAGAACAGAGAAGAUGUGAGAGUUAGCCAGGGUUGCCCGGUGGAGGCAUAGCGUGGCGUCCUGCCUCCCGGUUUUGUGGCUUCUUCGGCAAAGCCUGCUGCCCAGCCAGUGAGAAACGUGGGCAGCUUUUACCUUAACGCACACGGGACCUCCCCACCCUGCAGAUUACUGCUGGUGCAAGGUACUAUCAGAGUCCUGCAUAUGUGCAUAAAUGUUGGGUUUUCCUGGAGAACCGCUGGCUCAAUCUCCUGGGCAGGAGGCCGUAGACACAUUGCCUCAACUUCUCCUGUGCUGGCUGCAGACAGCUGACACAGGGAGUCAGGAGACAGCGUCCAAACCUCUGCAGAGCCUCCAGACCCAACAUGGAGCUCCACCACCUUCGUAUUUGCACAGCGAGCCCAGAAGCACAAGUCACUGUAUUAACCGGGUAAUCAAAGGAGCAAAGGACUGCAGGUGCAUUUUGCAAUGGAGAAGAGUGUCUGUCUGACCCUGUGGUAGAGCUAAAACCCUGGUCAGUGUGGGCCACUACCAGAUUACUGUUAAAACAAUGUUAGAUCAUGCGUGAUCUACAAAUUGCAAUGAUGGGACAGUCUGUGUCCCUGAUCUUGGCUGUACUAGUGAAGCUGACAGCCUCUCUGCUUGCCAAAAUAGAUGUGCCCAUGGAGGUGAAGCACUGCAAUGUGAAGCUCAGAGUUGGCCUUGAGUGGUGAGAGGUGGGUCCCUCCUGAAGUGGGAUGGGGGGGUGUGCCCGGGAAUCCCUUAGCUGUAAAGUCUUCCAGAUCUCAUUCAUUCAUGUUGUUUCCUCUCUAAGGAGCUGCAGUCACACCCAGGGCUGGGCCUGAUCCAGGAGGUGAAUAUGCCAGCGGGUGCUGUGAACGGGACACAACGCACAUCACACUUUGGUAUCCCCGGGAAGCGCUCCUGAGCUCCUCCAGCACGGUGGCGGCCAAAGCUUGACAAAGCUGAGAUUUCUGUAACAUCCUCCUCAAAAUGAAAUUCCUCCCUAUCUAGAGCCAUCAUGUUUCUUGUGUCUGACUUGUUUGAUUUUCAGACUAGCGUGAAGAGAAAUGCAAUGGUUUGACUCAGAGGAGGAAGGACAUAAACCCUGGCCAUAAACCCUGGACUUUCCACCUGAAUAGAAUGAGCAGAGUUAUCAGCAGCUCUCCCAAAGCGUUCCCACCUAUAAUGGAUUUUCGUCUGGAGCCAAAGUCCACCUGUUUUCAGGAAGGUUACGAAGUCAGGAAGGUGGUGCCCUCACAGACAGAGGAGUCAGGAAAUGAAAAAGUUCUUGCAGCAACGCUGACUUGCCCAAACUCCCUCUCCCUGUCCGACAACGUGCCUGCUCAUCGUACCGUUACCACCUAGCAGCUACUGGCUCUGGAGACUGGUCGUGGCAGAUGCAGGAGCACCGCCACCACGGUGAGGACAGGAAAGGUGGCUUCAUCAAAUAAAUACUGAGGCCGUGGAAACCAGCAUCUUCUUUAAUGCCAGGAUGAGCUGAAGCGUGGUCCCACGCUGCCCAGGAGUCUGUAGGGGGUCAUCUAAAUUUUAGGAAGGCAACUGCUGUUUCUAAUUCAGUAGCACACCCCAUCCCCUGGAAGGAGAAAGCUGCUCCCAAAUCUAGCCUCAAAUCACAAAGGGCCAUGGGCAAAUUCUGCUCACAAGCAUCAAGUGGGUAAAAAUUAUUUUCCCAUUGCUCUGGGCCUCUCUGAAUUUUGGACUAUGCAUUUAGGCCUCUGGAGCUGGGGGGAGGGUGAUAGCCAUCAUUUUAAACACAUCGUGCAAAGGCAAAUGUGGGCUGAAGACUGUACUUUGUUCCUUAUGGAGGGGGAGGGGGGACAGAUUAAAAAUGAGCUUUCAAAGUGUUCUGCUGAAUGGAAGAAAACAGGCUCCAAAGUACCUGCUGGAAAACAGCUGGGAGAAACCUUUGAUGGACAAAAUAUGGAUACUAGGACCAUCUAGCCCCCAUGGGCAGAAAGCAAGCCUGGCUCGCGCCAGGUCUGGAAGGUGUUUGUUGAUAAAACUGCGCUGCCCUCUGAUCUCCCGACAGUCUUGGCCCCAAAACGGCAGGGGGGAUUUCAGGUGAAGAAAGAGAUCUAACACCUCGCAGGGCUAGCUGACACUGCCAGCAUCCCACACGGCAACGUGUAUUGCAGAGAUUGGGUCUGAUUUCUCUCCAAAAACAGGCAAGUUCAUAUGUGAAUCAUAUGCUGGCACCUCAGCUUCCAGCCCUGCUUUUCUCCUCAGAAACAGAGCCAGGAGACAGCACGCGGCUGCAGAUUUCAUCUCUUAAGAAAGAAGGGAUAAAGCUUCUGCUGGGGUCAUGGCCAUCCUCUUACGGAGGAAGGUACGGAAGAGCUGUAAGGUCACACCCAGCAUGGGGGCCUUGACUGCCGGGGCAAUGAGGAAGAUGAAGAUGGACCCAAGUGACUCAAGCAGGAGAAGGAGCCACAGUGGCCUCAGCCCGCUCCUGAGCAGCCUGCGGGUGGGAAGGGGAUGCACUUUCUUGGAAAUGUGGAAGGAGAAGGAGGUCCAGUGCCCCACAGCCUGGGCCUAAAAGGUGGGAGUUUGCAUUAACAUCUUGGAUAAAAUCCCAAGGGAAGAGCUGGGAGACCAGUAGGCUGACUGGGACACUGCUGGAGGAGACAGACCAAUUUAGCAAGAGUAAAUAGGUGACUCCCAACGUAACGCAGGCUGCAGUCUCCCUCUGCCCUCUCUGCCAGGUCCCCUCAGCCAGGCGCGUCGUCAUGGGGCUGCUGGGGCCUGGGGUGCUCGCUGCCCUGACGGCAAGGUGCUCCUUCCCCAGGGACCUGCCACCACGUCCUGUAAAGCCACCGGUGGCUGCUCAGGGCUCACACGCUCCAGGGCUGCCCUCCACGUGCCACCGGUGUGGUCUUCAGACAUGCAGAUCUUGCAUAGAUCAUGCGUAGGUCUUCAAAAAAAAAGAUAGAGCCCCAACAGCCCCCUUUCUGCCUAGCGCUGGUAGGUGGUGUGUAAUGAGACCAGGUGUAUGACCCGGCAGCCUGCUCCCUUCUGGUUCUCACCCACUUCUCUCCCCGCUUUCCUUUCAUUUAUAUAGUAAGACGCUCUUGCAGAUGCCGUAAAUCUGUGGCUUUUCCCCAAGGAUGCACAUGUCUAUUUUGGUAUAGGCCGCUUCUUUGGGGACUGACGAAGCCUGGAGCUGCCUUCUCCUCCGUUCUGCUCUACUUGGCAGAAGCGAUCGCUCUGUGGGCCAGGCACUGCUGAGGCCCCGGCACAGGCGCCCGGCGCAGCCCCGGUGCUGUUUCCUGCGAGAGGUGGACUGCGUGAACAGCUUGUGGAGGCUCCAUGGUUAGAGGUUAUUCCAAACCACCUGUCAGGAAAGGUGUCUGCUCAGCUGAUCCUGAACCGAGGAUGCUUCCAGUCCGAUGUGCUUGAUGAGGGUUUUUGCUUUGCCGCCUCCACCACUGCUGCCCGUGUAUCAUCCAGCAGUGCCUGCUCUGGCCAACUUUGGAGGAACGAGAUGUUCGAAACGUGUUUUGGGAUCUGUAUCUUGUGAUUGACUUCACGGCGAGUUAGAGAAAGCCAAAUGGGUUAGAAGGUAAAAGAGAGGAGCUGUUUAACCAGACAUUACUCCUAAUUCCCAUGUCGCUGAUGUGAAUGCCUGGAAGUCCCGGUAGGGAAGUUCAGGAGUCCCUGGAUACCCUCUAGCAGGCCCAGUGCCCCCACAAAACCUCCAGGUGUUUCUCUGAAGUGCCCGCAUUUCCUCCUGGCACACCUCAACGCCUCCUGAGCAUUGUGCAAGCCACGUACCCGGCAAGUCGCUGCGCGUCCUCGCGGGAGCCUCCAGGAGCGACUCUGUCUCACCGAUUCCACCAGUGCCACGCUUCAGAUUUCAUUUUCUUCCCAGCGAUAACGCUUCACUUUGAUGUCUCUAUGCUGGGUCGUCACUGCCUCUGUCAUCUCUAAUCUUGCAGCAGCUUUGAUGCAGCCCUCGCAGCCUCCCGUCAGCAGCUCCGGGAACGCGGUGGCUUCGUGGUGCAAGGGGCCGACUCAACCCCGGCCUCGCACCCCCGUCAGGAAGGAAAGUCGGGUGCUGGGGGGCAGAUCUUGCUACCCCCCUCCCCGGGGACCGGGGAAGUCUCAGCAGGUCUCAUCGGCCAAAAAUCGUGUCCAGUACGGAGGCCCUGAGUCUUCAUUGCUUUGUGGCAGAAGGAAGGAAAAUGCUGCAGCGGGUAGAGCCGGAGUCUAAACACGUGCAAUAAAUCAGGAAGACGGAAAUGAGAGCGGAGCUGAGGUACAUCCAGAUAAGAACGGAGCGGUUUACACACAUCCCCUGUUCAGCUAUGAAAGGAGACAUGAGAUAUAGCCAGUGAAUCCUGAAAUCUCUUGGGAUUAAAUGAUUACAUUAAUCUUUGCUUUCUCUAAGCUCUGGUAACGGCAAUAGCCACAUGCUGGUUCCAGGCCAGAUUCUUCCUUGCUAACUUCAUGGUGAGCUGUCAAGGAGUUUGCAUGUGACCAAAAUGCCCAGAUAUAUGAAAAGCUCAGCUGCUCUCCUCCAACUCAUUUUAGCCAGAAGUCUCCAAGGCAGCACCGGGCACCUGCGGGCCGCUGACCCUGGGGCCUGGCCGGGCACCAGGGACAGGCUGCAGAUGCCACUGGUGGCCCUGGACAUCUCCCAUCCCAUGGGGAGAAACUGCAGCAGUGGCGGAGAGGAGCCGGUGGGGCUCCGGGGAUGGAGGGGAGCGUGCAGUGUCGGGCAGGGCAGCUGCUCAGGGGAUGAAUCCACCUGUUUCUCCGUAAAAAGAGCAGCAGCCUGCUGAUGGCAGGGGAAAGAGUUGGAUGGGGCUGGGAGGGCCAAGUGUGGCUCCCCCAGGCAGGAGCAGGGAUGUGCAGCAGGGACCCACAGCUGUGUUUUGCUCUGCCUCACAUUUUGGCCGGAGGUAAGUGCAGGAAGGUGCUGCCGACCCAUGACGACCGGACAGGGGACAGCAGGCAGUCUACCAGCUCCCCAUAGGUGCUGAUAAAGGCUUUCCUUUAUUAUUUUAGCCUCCCUGGAUUUUCCUCCCCCUUUUAGCUGAUCCUGUCACUUUUUCAGAGCAGCCGCGUCCUCCCCUGUCCCAUGCCCUGUGGUGCCCGUUUGCUUUCGGAGGUGACUGCAGCAGCGUGAACACAUUAAAGCAAAGUUACGACCGGAUGAGCCACCAGGGAGGGCAAAAUGACCAUCAGUGAAGCAUUAAUCACCUCUCCAGAGAGCAUUAUGGAAGAUUAUGAACCAGUUUGGCAAGUAAUGGGCCCCGUGUGAAGCUAGCAGCAUGUUACCUGCCAAACCAGUUUGUAAUCUGUGAUAAUGCUCCCUCCAGAGGGUCUCGUAUGGCAGUGGGGAGCCAGGGCAGCUGCUUUCUCCACUUGGCCUGACGUUUCAAACCACAGUCCUCACUUGCCCCUUGCAGUCGCUCUCGAUGGAUGGAUUUGCUCUCGGAGUGAGCUGAUCGUAUUACUGCUAUUUUGCAGUUAUCUUCCUUGCUCUGCUUCAUGCCCCGUGGCUGCGAUGAGGAUCGCAUCCAGCUCGGGGUCUCCCAGGCAAACAUGGCAGAGCUUUUAGCCAGCCGUGGUGGUUGGGCCAGGGUGCUGCUCCAGAGGGAGGCCCUGCGGAGUGAGAGCUGGCCCCGGCCAUGGGGCCGAGGGCCCGGCCGUGCCACGGGACCGUUUGCUCAGAGAUCUGGUGCUGCUGCUCCUAAGCCAGCUUUUCCCUUCUGCAGAAGACCUCCAGGUCCUGCAGAAGACCUCUGGGUCUUCAACCAUGGGUUCUCUGGACCCUGUGGUCUAGGGACCGCAGCGGGGGACCCUCCUGCCCACUUGGGACAACUAUGGGGCAAGAGUCCCUAAAAGACAGUUAUUUAAGAGGUUGGAUGAACAUCGAAUGACCAAACUAAUUCCCUGGGUGCCUGCUUCAGCCCCAGGGAGGUGAGAUGAGUGAAGGGGAGAGAAGGGCUUUAGACCAUCGCGGGUCCGUAAGUCUGACCGAUAAACCCAGGUGCAUCGCCUCGUACUACCGUUUGUCAACACUUACAAGACAAAAUUAGCAUCUUUGUUUCUAAUCAGCUACCUCGCUCAUCCUGAUUCCUCUGUACCUCUAAGGAUCUGGGAAAGGAAACACAAGAAACACAAGGGGUUUGUCUCCCACAUUUCCAAAUUCUCCAAAUAUUAACUAAUUUUCGUCCCCGCUUGCAGUUGUGCAGAACAACAUAGCACGUGGCAGGGGGAGGGAGCCAAUGGCAUUAUUUCCUUUUUUUAAAGCCCAGAAUCAAUGUUUACACAACGGAGCUAAAUUAUUUAUACGCAUAAUGUUAUAGGUUUCACAUCAGUGCUUUUUAUUAGCAUUCGGCGGAUGAGAAAUCAUACCUGACCUACUUGUAAAAACGAACCCACAGUCUCUCCGCACCAACAGCCGAUGCUGCGGCGGGUGAAAGGGUGACGGCUCUCCGGGCAGCGGGCAAGCUAUCGGAGGGGAGAAAUCCUCCCUCGGCAUUUUCUCCUCCACGGCAACUUCAGAUUUGGGGGAGAUCGCGUGCAAUGGGGUUAUUUUUACAGGGACUCUCGUGAAACCCUGCUACACCAGUCUCGUUCGUAGGAGGCUGGCUGGGAAUCGGCCCGAAGCCCGACACGUUCCUGGCGGGUUUGUCUUUGCCACUGCCGGCACCCAUGUGCGGGUGGACGCGGCAGGGCCGCUGAUCCCCGAGCUGCUCCCGUGUGUUUCUCCUGAACGACUCAGCCAGCCAUCUCUAACCCAACAUGUCACAGGCACUUCAGAUGGCUUUCUUCUUGUCUUGCAAUUAAUGCAUUUUUUAUAAAGCCUGGGCUCCAGUUUCCUUUCAUGUUACUAGGAGGAUAUCCUUUUCCUGUAAAGCUUCAGAAGGAUUUUUUUCACCCAAUGUAUUAAUCUCUAGCGGCCUGUAAAUAGGACGGAGAAAGGCAUUAUCUCAACGGCACGGCAUCGAAGCUGAAGCUUCGCCGGAGCCCGUGCAGCGAUUCUGGCUGCUUUGCUAGUCUGCACAGCUCUUUCAACAGGUGAAUCAGCAGCUCUACAAGAAUACUUACUGCAUACCCUUCGCUUUGCAGCACGGAUGGGAUUUACUGCAGGAUGCCGUGAUGUGUCUGCAAUCCCGUCCUAAAGAACGGCAAUCCACCUCACAUUACAAGUAACGGCCUAGUAACCUCCCCCAUGGUGGAAAAAGUCAAGCAAAAUAAAAGCACGUUGGGACGACUUGCAGUGCAGAGCAGAAUAUCGUCCCCGAGGGCAGUGGUUGACAAAUCACAGUGUGCGAGACCCUCUUCCUGGAAAUCAGCAAACUAAUACAUUUUCAGAUUGAGGUGGCAGGGAAAGCUGGAGAAAAAAGCAGGCAGAAAACCAUCUCCUCGCGCCGCCUGCACUACAAAGCUCCUCGGGAGCCGUCCCACCAGCACCAGGCAGGGGAACUGCAACGCGUCCAAGCAACAGCUUCUACCUACGUACGGUACAUGAGGGAUUCGACUCCGCUGGCACGAACCCCGCUCGGUUGCUUUAUCGCUAAACCCAGCGGGGACCUCCGAAUUACGGCUGCGUACAGUCAUUUGUACCAUCCUUCUUUAAACAGCGAAGCAGCCGGAAAAGGAGACGUUGCAGAACCACAAGUGCAAAGCGGUUCCCCUAGGGGAAGGUCAUCGAGCCCCCGGGCUCGCGCCGGAGGAAGAUGCCGUCCGGUUGCCCGGCCGGGAGGAGCCACCCCGCUUUUUUCCUUUGCCUCUGCAGAGCUUUGGGUGAAACGCUGCUGGCGAGCACACGAUCACAUGGGAAAAGUACGGUCGGGAAGGAAAAACCAAGGCAGGAGAACGUCUUCAGUUAGAGUGGAUCCCACACUAAUUAAAUUAUGCAUUGGAUACGGAGGAAAAUCAUCUUUAAUUAAGAUGAAAAACAGCGAAACGAUCUGGCGGUUUUGUUAUUUCGGAUGACACGGGAAAUGGAGGAAACAACACAAAUUUGAAGGGAGAACAGUACGGACAUCCACAUCUUGCAGUACGCUGAAAUUCUCGCGCAGGUCUUGCAGCAUCAUUAUUCGAAUGGGAGGAUGUUUCUAUCUGCUAAAAACACUGACGCAGAAUGUAAAAUUCAAGCAGAAAAAUCUGGGUUCGUGUCUACCAGACUGUCUGUUGUCGUGUCAAAAAGGUUACCUGAAGGAAGAAAGAGUUCGAAAAAAUUAGGUUGAUAUUUUUUUUUUUAAAUUCGUUCAGUCAUUUGUAAAAAAACAUGAUGGAAAUUAUAUAUUUGAGUUUCUAAUUUUAAUUUGUGAUGGGGUUGAACUGCUGGUGUGUAUGCCGAUAGCAAUUGCUGAAUUCCACUUAGAGCUCAACUGGCUAAAGAAAGCAAAUUAAAUAGAAAGAUUUUUUAAAAUACAUAAUCUGUGAGCAAAGGUUUUCACAGAGAGUAUAGUACACACCACUUCAGAUGUAAAGUGCUGCGUUAGAAUAUGGCACAAACCGCACUGCAAUGCUCACCGCUUUGAAGUUAUGGUUCUGAAGAAGUAAAAAAAGCACUGCAUGAAUUUUAAACCUAGAGUACGUACUUUGGGAUGUUCUUUGGAAAAGGCUGAAAAAACCCCACAGCAGUCUAAAUGCAUAUGGUAGAAAAAAAAAACGCAGGUAUACUGUAUGAUUAUAUGCCACCUUUUUUAAACCACUUUAAGAAUGUAUUUUUUCUAAACAGAACAAUGAAAGAUGGACAGAAGAAUUACAACUAUAGCACUAAGAACACAGGGCAAAUAGGAGACAGACAUCAAUCAGUGUAAGAAGCAAAUACAACCCAAUGAAAAGGGAAGACUCAUACAAUCAUGCACUGAAAGGAUAAAGAUUUAUAUUACAAUAAAGGAUUUAUAUUUAA